GAGUACUUUAAUCUAUAGGACGCUAUAGGUGAGAGUUGUAGUAUAGGUGUAAGUAUGGUGCUUAGACCUAGAUUACUUGUGGAUAUCCCCUGUUAGCCGGAUCGUGUGGUAGGCCGCAUAGGUGACAGUUACGUUGGUCCCCUUUAGUCCACCUCCUAUUAGCAGGAUGGGUAGGGUUUAUCGGCCUAUGGAUAAGCAUCCUUUGUGGUGUAUUCUUAUCACGUGAUUCGUCCGAGACAUAGACAUACCCCUUUGAAGUAGAGAAACCAUAGUUAUCCUCUCUAUACUCCUACCAUCGCCCAUAUACUAGAUUGCUCUACUCUCUAUUCCCUUAUUAUCACCCAUUGUUAUCUUACCUUUAAUAUUGUUCUUAUUCAAUUCUACCAUCUUUCCUAUUUACACCUAUCUAUCUAUCUAGGUUAAGUUAGAGCGUAGUUGGUUCUCCCGUUUCCCUGUGGAUACGAUAAAACCUUUAACCGGGUAAAAGCUACAACGGUAUCCGUGCGCUUGCGGAUUUAUCUGUGUGCGUAUAAAUACCAUAGUACACUCUAGUGCCAUGCUGGGGAUGACAACCUAUUAUUGAAGUGGUGUUAGCAAGUGUCAACAAGCAUUUUUGGCGCCGUUGCCGGGGAGACGGUUGCUGAGUUGACUACGAACUAGCUUAAUCAUUUUCUGAACAAUAUAUAAAAAAAAUAAAAAAAUAUACUUUUCCUUUUAUCUUUUGCCUUAUCUCUGCUAUUCUUUCUUCUUAUCUAAUACUUGAUCUCUGGUCUAUCAUAAAUUCAAACAUGUCUAUCUAUGAAUUUCAUAGACCUACGGGCACACAUCUCGAACCACCUAAAUCUUCAAAGCCUAUCAUAGCAUCUAGUUUUGAGAUAGACCCCGAAUACAUAGAAUUUGGUCAAAAACAACCUUUCUCAAGAGAAGGUGAGGAAAACCCAUACACACACCUAAGUGAGUUUUUUCGAGUCUGUGACCUCCUUCACAUAGAAGACAUGUCCGAUGAGACCCUU
rnacentral:lncRNA from 1 species